CAAAAGAAAAUAUCUAUUCGGACGAGUGAGCAUGAAGAUCAAACUCAUUCCCGGAGACUCUGCCGGUACGGUCACCGCUUUCUACGUA
rnacentral:sRNA from 1 species